CUGCUCACUCUUUGGGUCUGUGCCAUCUUUAAAAGCUGUAACACUCACUGCGAAGGUCCAUGGCUCCAUUCUUGAAAUCAGCAAAACCACAAACCCACUGGCAGGAACCAACUCUGGACACAUCUUGGGAGCUCCUCUGGGAUAUUGUCAUGUGAUGGGAAACACUCAGGCAUCAACAGGCUCACCCUUGAAAUGCAUCCUAAGCCAUUGGGACCAAUUUGACCUGCAAAUCCUGAAAAAUAGAAUCUACAAAAUACCUCCCAUGGUAACAAGAAAACAACACACAAUCAAAACAAAUGAAGUGCUUCCCAAACACCAUCUUCUUCAAGGGAGGAGACCAGCACGGAGUCACUACAAGUUGUUUCUUCUACCAACGGUACCACAAAUGGCCCCAAAGGCCCAAAUGGGAUUCAAAAUGGAGUCAGUGCUGUUACAAUAAGAUCUUCUACUCAAUAAAGAAGCAAAAGUACUCACAGCAGAGUGGGAUUGCUGUGAGAAGGAGCCAUGUAAGUAAUUUUCUCAGGAGAUAAGCAUCAAGCAAAGCCCAAGUGAGGGACAUACUACAAAAUACCUGACCACUACUGUAAACUGUAAGGUGGGCAAAACCAAGGAAAACGUGAGUAAGAGUCGCAGCCAAGAAAAGCCUGUGGAGACAUGACUACUCAAUGCAACAUGAUAUCCUGAUGAGACUCUGGAAGACAAAAAGAAUAUUAAAUACAAUAUAAGGAAAUUUGAAUAAGUUGUGAACUUUAUUUAAUAACAUAUUGUAUGGGUUCAAUAAUUGUGACAAGUAUACUACAGCAACAUAAGAUACUACAUAGGGAAACUGUCAAAUAUAUAGGAACUCUUUGUACUGUCUUCACAAUUUUUCUGUAAUUAGAAAACUAUUGUAAAAGAAAACUGUAUUUUAAAAAAGCAUUGUUAUAUUAAAAAUGACACAAAACAUGUGCAGCAGAUGUGGGUUGGAGCCAGAAAUUCUGCAUUUGUAAUAAGCCUACGGUGCUCUUUCUGUUGCUGGUGCUGCUUGCCUGGGUCUCAUGGAGUGGCAGGCAUAGAGUGGCCUCCAGGUCAGGAGAAUGGGCAUCAUGUGGAACUUGUUAGACAUACAAGUCAUUUCAUGUCAGAUCUAUCGAAUUAGAAAGUCUAGGGUUGGGGCCCAGCAGUAUGUUUUAUAGCAACCCCUCCAGAGGUGCUGAUGCGAAUACAUAAGGAAAAUUGAUCUAAAAUCCACCACUAGCAUGUUAUUCUCUCCCCCUUUUUUGUUGGAGUGGGAGUGGAAGAUAAGUUGGAGGUAAGGGUGUAUAUUUGAAAAGUUAAUUCACUGAAUAAAUAGUUAUAAAAAAUUUACAUCUUGAGACUGAAUUUCAUGCUAAAGAAAUGGAUUUAUGCAAUUUGUCCAUGAACGUCUAGUCACUGCUUAUGCAAGCUUUCCAUGGCUGUUCAUUGACAGAAGGUUGGCUGAUUUAUAUCACCACAUAAAAAGAGCAUAAAUAAUAAUUUAUCAAUCAUUUGUAUCUCCUGAAAGAUCUACAAAUUAUAUUUUACAAAUUAAAAAUAAAUUACUAUUGGAUUCCCGAUCAGCUCAGGAAUUGGAUUCCUGAUUCUAGCUCAGUCAUCUAGAGGUUUAAAUGUAUCUUUUUAUUGAAUUUUUUGUUUAGUUACUAGAUACACAUAUAAAGGAUGUAAUUUUUUAAAAUAUAUCAUAUAAUAGCUUUUAAUUUCAUUUUUGUUUUUCUUGUAUAACCUAUUCUCUAUAUACUCACGUAUUUUGGCUUAAUAGUAUGUUUGAUAAUUUAUUCAUGUUGAUAUGUCCACAAAUAUAUUGGAAUUUCAUAAAAAUUUCUUUGGCAAAGAAGGCACAACUUUCCUGUUCUUCAGAGGAUUGUUCCUUUCUGAUAUUUGUAAUUACAAACGAUGAUAAAAUAAAAACAUUGUACAAAUCUA